CUUCGAAUAUACCCUUGCCGCCAUUCCUAUUUCUUUUCUAUGUUCUCUCUUCAAUUAUGAUCGUUAUAGUGGGUGUUGUGCAAAACCGAGACCACAUUUGUGAUAGUUGUGAUCUCUUCUUUCAUUUUCAACUUGAAUCGCAAACUUAAACGCCCUAUUCCUCUUUGCCAAAAAUCACAUCACCACCUUUUGAUCAAGAUUUCGGCCACCACGACUAUCACCAACGAAAACCAAGACCAUAUUUGAACUCCACGAAACACCCUCUUCUGUUACCUAUGCUCGAAAUCGCCAACCGUUACAUUUUAAAAAAUGGGUUUCCACCAUUGUCGUGGCUGUUUUCUUGAAUUCUGGACAACACGUUCAUCGUCUUGAAAAACUGAUAUCGUUUUUAGAUUCCUCUCGUCGAAACCUUCAAGAAGCACUAAUCAUUCGUCAAUUUCGGGGAAGUUGAUGUCGGACCCUGUCGGUGCUCCAACACUUCGUCCGCGUAAAUUAUCAACCAUGUUUCAUUGACUCUACAAAUUCGUCGAUGCUUUUGGACUCGUCGUUGCGUGUUGUCGACAUCUCAUGGUUGCUGAAAAUCAUUAUGGUCCUUAUAUCUUAUGAAAGCGUCAAAUUGAGUUAUUUCAGGUUAUCGAUUAGGGAUCCACGCUAUGAAUAGGUGAUAUUGGGUGGGAGUGAUUUUUCAUAUUUUGUUGAGUUAUGAACAAUUUAGAUUUUUGUAAAUUUGAUUGAUCAAUUGUGUUAUUCCUAUCGGUUAUUCAGAGGUAGAAAUUAAUUGUCUCUAAGUUUAGAACUUGCUUUUAUAUCAAAAGUAUUUAUUUAAUGAACAUCAACUAUAUUCGAUAUUAAGAAUUUUUUUUAUUGAAAAUUUUUAUGCAAGCAUUUUGUGUAAGUGUGAAUGUGACGUCUUGAACCUUA